GAUGGAGCAACGCCGCGUGAGUGAAGAAGGCUUUCGGGUCGUAAAACUCUGUUGUUGGAGAAGAAUGGUCGGCAGAGUAACUGUUGUCGGCGUGACGGUAUCCAACCAGAAAGCCACGGCUAACUACGUGCCAGCAGCCGCGGUAAUACGUAGGUGGCAAGCGUUGAUCCGGGAUUUGAUUGGGCGUAAAGCGAGCGCAGGCGGUUUUUUAAGUCUGGAUGUGAAAGCCCUCGGCUUAACCGAGGAAGCGCAUCGGAAACUGGGAAACUUGAGUGCAGAAGAGGACAGUGGAACUCCAUGUGUAGCGGUGAAAUGCGUAGAUAUAUGGAAGAACACCAGUGGCGAAGCGGCUGUCUGGUCUGUAACUGACGCUGAGGCUCGAAAGCAUGGGUAGCGAACAGGAUUAGAUACCCUGGUAUCCAUGCCGUAAACGAUGAAUGCUAGGUGUUGGAGGGUUUCCGCCCUUCAGUGCCGCAGCUAACGCAUAAGCAUCCGCCUGGGGAGUACGACCGCAAGGUUGAAACUCAAAGGAAUUGACGGGGGCCCGCACAAGCGGUGGAGCAUGUGGUUUAAUUCGAACAACGCGAAGAACCUUACCAGGUCU
rnacentral:rRNA from 2 species